rnacentral:rRNA from 1 species
GACAGAGGGUGCAAACGUUGUUCGGAAUUACUGGGCGUAAAGCGCGUGUAGGCGGCUAACGUAAGUCGGGCGUGAAAUCCCACGGCUCAACCGUGGAAGUGCACUCGAAACUGCAUAGCUAGAGUCCUGGAGAGGAAGGUGGAAUGCUUGGUGUAGAGGUGAAAUUCGUAGAUAUCAAGCGGAACACCGGUGGCGAAGGCGGCCUUCUGGACAGUGACUGA